rnacentral:rRNA from 1 species
GACGAACGCUGGCGGCGUGCCUAAUACAUGCAAGUCGAGCGAAUCAAUAGGAGCUUGCUCCUGUUGGUUAGCGGCGGACGGGUGAGUAACACGUGGGCAACCUGCCUGUAAGACUGGGAUAACACCGGGAAACCGGUGCUAAUACCGGAUAAUCCUUUUCCUCUCAUGAGGGAAAGCUGAAAGUCGGUUUCGGCUGACACUUACAGAUGGGCCCGCGGCGCAUUAGCUAGUUGGUGAGGUAACGGCUCACCAAGGCGACAAUGCGUAGCCGACCUGAGAGGGUGAUCGGCCACACUGGGACUGAGACACGGCCCAGACUCCUACGGGAGGCAGCAGUAGGGAAUCUUCCACAAUGGACGAAAGUCUGAUGGAGCAACGCCGCGUGAGCGAUGAAGGCCUUCGGGUCGUAAAGCUCUGUUGUUAGGGAAGAACAAGUACCGGAGUAACUGCCGGUGCCUUGACGGUACCUAACCAGAAAGCCACGGCUAACUACGUGCCAGCCGCCGCGGUAAAAC